UAGUAAUGCAUUAUCCCGGACAUGGCGUUCUCUGCCACGAGGAAAUGAUAUAUGCAGGAUAUUACUGCUGCUAUGCCUGAGGAAGCUGCGCUUGCAAAUUGAAAUGCGUGGCAUCCUGGUAAAUAAAGUGGUUACCCUCAAGCUACUGCAUCUGUUUUAUGUCUGGUCCCGGUCAGUGCCACAAAAUUCCUGUUACCCCUGAAGCCGCCUGGUUCUCGUAUCCUAAGAUUCAUCAGGAAGGCUGCAGACGGGUUGUCCACACUAUAUUUCACUACGUGCUGCCAAUUGUUGUGUAUGUCGGUACACAACCGGAGUCGUAGUGCUCCAGCAAAUCACAAGUCCCAUGGCUGCACAGGCACAAUAGGAUAAACAUGCUGGUCGAGAGGAAGCAGUAGCUGUGACGUCAGAAUGCUCCUGGAACACCGCCUGAGCACCGCGCCUGCCGAUUACCAUCAACCCAAUAAGAAGAAUAACAGGCAAACAGAGCGAUGGAUCGGUGACUGGUUGGAAUCAUCCUUUUGUUACAAGAACUACCGUAUAUGGAGAUAGUGAAGCCUAAGUAACCUAGCUCUUUACUUCCUGCAGAUAUAACACAUUAAAGAAAAGAAUCUCUUCACGAUGAGCUUUCUGGAUAGCCAUUAUAAUUAGUCACUAGAAGAAAAUAUUAAAAUGACAGCUAAUAUAUUUCCCUACAUUAAGAAUUAUGUGAAAAUUUUGAAGAAUUUUAUGCAUAUCACUGUUUUAUGCAUACUGAUUUUGUGUGUAUAUUUGUCGCAAAGUUGGCACUAUGCAGCGUUUUGGACUUUUUUUUGUGUCUUUUUUGUUUAAACUUUAAAAAAAAGUGUGUACAGAUCAGCUGUUAAGAUUUGCGACUAAUCUGCACAAGAUGUAUCAAAUGCCCUGCGGCACUUUGAUAAAUUUAGUGCACCUACACAUUACCAGCUAAAGUGUUCAGCUGCAGUGUCUAAACAGUGUC